UCUCGAUAAAGGCAAAACUGAUGAAAGUCAGUGACGCAAAGCUACAGGGGCUAAUGUGUUUCGUGCACGAUGCUCGCCAGCUACCGAA
rnacentral:ncRNA from 1 species